AUGGGCUCCGAGAAGCUCCACCUGAAGAUGUCACCUAGGUACCUGCCCGAACACCUCCAGGGAGGCAAAUCACCUAGCUUGAAGGUGACUAAGUCUUCUAGAAGGGGAGAACUUGGGUGCCAAAUGAGAUUGGGAGAACCAAUCAGAGAGGUCCUGAGGACUAUUAGAUCUGGUAGAACCAAACCUGAGUCUGGUGAAAAAAACAGUUUAAAAGGGGGCAGCUGGAUGGCUCAGUGGAUUGAGAGCCAGGGCUUGAGUUGGGAGGUCCUAGGUUCAAAUAUGGUCUCAGAUACUUCCCAGCUAUGUGACCCUGGACAAGUCACUUAACCUCCAUUGCCUAUUUACCACUCUUCUGUCUUGGAACCAAUAUACAGUAUUGAUUCUAAGAUGGAAAGUAAGGGUUUAAAAAAAAACAGUUUUGAGGGGCAACAACCUUCACUGCUGAUGAUAGAGUGGUCAGUCUACAAAGAGGUAGGAUGAGGACUGACUAAUAGUGGAUAGGCUAUGCCAUACCCAGAAGUGAUUCUGGUAGAGAUGCAAUGAAGGCAUAUACUCCUUGCCAUAUUGGUUUUCUACAUUGGUGCCUCUCUACUUUUCUGCUUUAAGUCUAAACCCAUUCUCUCCAAGGAUUGGGUGUGAGUUUUGGGGCGAGUGCACCAUUAGUAUGAUGGAUAUUUUGUGACUUGUCCUUGCUAGAUCACCUCAGCAAAUAUCCUUUCAUAAACAUUUAUUGAUAUUAAUUGGUUAAUUUGUAUUGAGAGAUGCACAGCAAACGGGGUCUUAUGAGAAUUGCUAUUAGAAAUCCCACCACAGGGCAAAGAAUUGGAAAUUGAAGGGAUGUCCUUCAAUUGGUAAAUGGCUAAACAAAUUGUGAAGGUGAUAGAAUACUGUAAGAAAUGAUGAACACGAUGAUUUCAGAAAAAGCUGGAAAGAUCUACAUGAACUGAUGCAGAGGGAAAUAAGCAGAAACAGGAAAACUGUACACAGUAACAGCAAUACUGUGGAAUGAUCAACUGUGACAGACUUGGCUAUUCUCAGCAUUACAAUGAUCCAGGACCAUUCUGUGAGACUUAGGACAAAGAAUGCCCUCCUGAGAAAAAACUAUUGGAGUCAGAAUGCAAAUGAAAGCAUGUGAUUUUUCACUUGUUUAUUUGGGUUUUUGGUUUGGGGUAUUGGUUUUAUAUGAUUAUUCUCUUUCAAAAAUGAACAAUUUGGGAAUAUAUUUUGCAUGAUAAUACAUGUAUAACCCAGAUGAAUUGCUUGCCAUCUCUGGGAAGUGGGAGGGAGACAAUUUGGAUCAUAUAAUAUUAGAAAACUUAUGAAGAAA
rnacentral:lncRNA from 1 species